UGAACUGGGCUUUAGUGAAGCUGUAACGGGAGCCAGGAGCAUACUGCUCAAUUUAUCAAACUGAGGGGGGAGAACGACGAACUCUUCACCGGGGUGAAACAUUCGGCGAGUGUGGCUUGGGGGACAAUUCUGGAGAAAAUAGGCCUGCAGGGGAAGGUGACUCCCCUGCAGGCAAAGAAAAAAUGGGAUAAUUUAAAAAAUAUAUAUAAAGAUUGCAAGUAUCCAGGGUCAGGAGAGGGUGUAGGUGGGAAACCCACUGCUGCCACUUGGCCCUGGUUUGUCCUCAUGGAUGAGGUAUUGGGACAGAGGCAUUCCACCAACCCCCCUGUCCUAAUUGCCUCCAUCCUUGAGAAC
ensembl:lncRNA